AACGAACGCUGGCGGCAUGCCUAAUACAUGCAAGUCGAACGAGAUCUUCGGAUCUAGUGGCGCACGGGUGCGUAACGUGUGGGAAUCUGCCCUUGGGUUCGGAAUAACGUCGGGAAACUGACGCUAAUACCGGAUGAUGACGUAAGUCCAAAGAUUUAUCGCCCAGGGAUGAGCCCGCGUAGGAUUAGCUAGUUGGUGAGGUAAAGGCUCACCAAGGCGACGAUCCUUAGCUGGUCUGAGAGGAUGAUCAGCCACACUGGGACUGAGACACGGCCCAGACUCCUACGGGAGGCAGCAGUAGGGAAUAUUGGACAAUGGGGGCAACCCUGAUCCAGCAAUGCCGCGUGAGUGAUGAAGGCCUUAGGGUUGUAAAGCUCUUUUACCCGAGAUGAUAAUGACAGUAUCGGGAGAAUAAGCUCCGGCUAACUCCGUGCCAGCCGCCGCCGUAACAC
rnacentral:rRNA from 1 species